CAAAAACAUCUCCCCUUGAAAAAUGAAUUUGGGGUAGGCCCUGCCCAGUGGAGUUAUUCUAAACGGAAAGGGUGACUUUUAAAGUAGCGUAGUAAUUUGUCCCUUAAUUAGGGUCUGUAUGAAUGGGUUGACGUGGGGGGACUGUCUCGGAAAAAUAAGUUGAAAUUUUCUUUUCAGUGAAAAGCCUGAAAUAAGUUUAAAAGACGAGAAGACCCCGUCGAGCUUAAGAGGAAGGGUGAAGAAUUUUUCUCUUUUCAUGUUUGUUGGGGUAACAGAGGAGAAAUUAAAUCUCCGGUCUUUAUUAUAGAUCCACUUUUUGGUGAAAAAGAGAAAAAGUUACCGCGGGGAUAACAGCGCAAGACGACCAGGGAGUUCUUAUCUAAGGUUGUAAGUGCGACCUCGAUGUUGGAUUAAGGUAAGCUUAAGGGUGUAGCAGCUCUUAAAGCGGGACUGUUCGUCCUUUAAAUCCUUACGUGAUCUGAGUUCAGAC
rnacentral:rRNA from 1 species